CUGGCUCAGGAUGAACGCUAGCGGCAGGCUUAACACAUGCAAGUCGAGGGGCAUCGGGAGUAGCAAUACUGCCGGCGACCGGCGCAAGGGUGCGUAACGCGUGAGCAACAUGCCCGUAUCAGGGGGAUAAUCCAUGGAAACGUGGUCUAAUACCCCAUAGUAAUUAUGUAAGGCAUCUUAUAUAAUUUAAAGCUUUGGUGGAUACGGAUUGGCUCGCGUGACAUUAGCUGGAUGGUAAGGUAACGGCUUACCAUGGCUACGAUGUCUAGGGGUUCUGAGAGGAAGGUCCCCACACUGGAACUGAGACACGGUCCAGACUCCUACGGGAGGCAGCAGUGAGGAAUAUUGGACAAUGGAUGGAAAUCUGAUCCAGCCAUGCCGCGUGCAGGAAGACGGCCCUAUGGGUUGUAAACUGCUUUUGUAUGGGAGCAAUAAGGGCUACGUGUAGUCCGAUGAGAGUACCAUACGAAUAAGCACCGGCUAACUCCGUGCCAGCCGCCGC
rnacentral:rRNA from 1 species